UGACGGAAGUAUUGCACAAUGGAGGAAACGUCUGAUGCAGCAACGCCGCGUGGAGGAUGACGCAUUUCGGUGUGUAAACUCCUUUUAUGAGUCAAGAAAAUGACGGUAGCUCAUGAAUAAGCACCGGCUAACUCCGUGCCAGCAGCCGCGGUAAUACGGAGGGUGCAAGCGUUAUUCGGAAUCACUGGGCGUAAAGGACGCGUAGGCGGGAAGCCAAGUCUGAUGUGAAAUCCUAUGGCUUAACCAUAGAACUGCAUUGGAAACUGGUUACCUAGAGUAUGGGAGGGGGAGAUGGAAUUAGUGGUGUAGGGGUAAAAUCCGUAGAUAUCACUAGGAAUACCGAAAGCGAAGGCGAUCUCCUGGAACAAUACUGACGCUAAGGCGUGAAAGCGUGGGGAGCAAACG
rnacentral:rRNA from 1 species